GGCAUUCCCCGGAUACCUGAGGAUGAUGGACCUACAGGACCAGCCGUUGUGCCUGAUGCCACUACAGUUUCUGGGACUGAUAGUUUGCCUGAGAGCGGUGUUUCCCCGCCACAGCCGAGAGGUAUGAUCGAUUUGCCUACAGGGGUUGAUAUAUCCUCCAUGACUACUCCUGCAGUUACUUCGGAACCUGUCGGAUCUCAGCCCGAGGGGACCUCCGUUGGCAUUGGAUCUCGAUCAUCUCUAUAUGAGCAUGUUCACGCCCUC